rnacentral:piRNA from 1 species
UAAUAAUCACACCUGUCAUAAAGUC